AUUUGAGAACAACUGGAGCAAAAGGUAUCAUUCUGAUGUCCCUCCUAGAGGAAGUUUUGAAUGUGAGACACAGUUAAGUGUUAAUUUUGUGACAUCUUUCAUCAAAAGUAGCAUGGUUCAGAAUCAUUCUUUGUCAAAUAGGUUAGCUGCUGAGGACCUUUUUGAGUGGAAGUGGAGUUUGAGACCUGGGUGCCAGAGAUGACUUCAGGAAUUGUAAUUGAUGGAAAAAGGAAGAUCUUGACGCCUUUAAGAAAGAGAAAACUUUGAGAUCUGAUUGUGCAAAGAAAAUUUUCAUCAAAGGAGCAAGAAAUUCUUCAUAACUUCAACACAACAUGGCCUUUGGGAACAGAAUAAAACACAAAUAAGGAAAGGCGGAAAAUGAUUGACACAUGCACUGUUCUUGGUUUGAAAUUUAACAAUCAUGCUAGUUAUAGGAUACAGCUUUGAAAUUCGAGUCAAUGAGAGGAUGAAAAAUACUGAGGAAGAGUAGGUAAAUUGAAUUCUUGCUACAUGAACAAAAACACUGGAUCUGAAGGUAAGGUACAUUUUAUAUAAUGACCCUCGUCUUCUGACACUAUUUAUUCAAUGCUUUGGUAUUUGUUCAUAUAUUAUGUUCCAAAAACAUAUCAAUGAUUCUGGUUAUUCUUAAUUAAUGAACAUGCA